GUCCACGCCGUAAACGAUGGACGCUAGGUGUGGGCGGUGUCGACUCCGUCCGUGCCGAAGCUAACGCAUUAAGCGUCCCGCCUGGGGAGUACGGCCGCAAGGCUAAAACUCAAAGGAAUUGACGGGGGCCCGCACAAGCAGCGGAGCAUGCUGUUUAAUUCGAAGCAACGCGAAGAACCUUACCUGGGCUUUACAUGCAUUCGUAACCUUGGGAAACCAAGGCCCCAGCAAUGGCGGAUGUACAGGUGGUGCAUGGCUGUCGU
rnacentral:rRNA from 1 species